GGUUCUUUGAGUUCCUGUUGUCUUUCUAUCAGCUGGAACCAGUCUGACCUCUGACCUCUAGCAUCAACAAGACAUUUCUGACCACAAAACUGCUGCUCUCUGGAUAUUUUCUCUUUUUGGACCAUUCUCUGUAAACCCUAGAGAUGGUUGUGGGUGAAAAUCCCAGUAGAUCAGCAGUUUCUGAAAUCCUCACCUGGCAGCAAAUAUUUAUCUUCUUUUAUUUAUUUAUUUUCAAUCUAUCAAUUGAUGACAGAUUAGCUUAACUGGGUUAGAUAAAUAUCUGUAUUUUUGUUAUAAUGAAUUCGAUUUCUCGACGUUUCUCCAGACGCUCAAAGCGCUGGACAUCCUCAGUACUCUCCUCCUCCAUGAUUUGGUCUGAAUCUCUACUUCCAUCCCUCUACAUGUAUGUUGUCAGGACCAAAAGCCUUUCCACUCGUCCUCCUCUCUUUCUCCUCCUCUACGUAACAGAGGAGCUUCAGAUGUCGGUCAUGAACGUUUUCCUCCGUCAGCAGUUAGUGAUGGGACGAGCGACACUGGUGCAUCAGCACUGUGCCGAGAGCUCAAGAGGGAAACCUCAUAUUGGUGCGUGUAUUGCUUUAAGAAAGAAUCACAUGACCGAUGCAGGAACUGUAUCGUUUGGAUGUGCCGCGCCAACGUGUGUUUAUAAGGACACAAACUGUAUCAACAUGUCGUGGGUUUGUCGGAUGGAGUUUUGCUUGAUCAUGGAUCGUCCUAGGAAGUUUUCCCCGGUGUGGAAUAAUUUUGAUCUCGUGACGCCAAACAAGGUGAAGUGUCGGCUCUGCUCCACAGAGCUAUCUUAUAUCAAUAAGAGCACUUCAUCAAUGCUGAGGCAUUAUAGAGCUCGGCAUGGCAAUGAAGAAUUGGCAGAUACUCGUGAGAAUACCCCAGGUAUGUUGAAAUUCUCUCUAAAAAUUGUGCUAAAAAAUAAACAUGCAUGCAAACAGACAGGCUCCACGCCUGGUAUCGAACCUCCAACCCUCUUGCUGUGAGGCGACAGUGCUAACCACUACACCACCAUGUCAUCUUAUGACUAUUUGAUAUAGUUUGUAAAAAUUACAGUCCUUUUAUUAAGCUUUUGACAAAAUAGUUCCUAUUGGCUUGCAGUGGAUGAGGCAGUGGUCAAUAUGAUCAUCACAGACUGUCAGGAUUCAGGGAGCUCCUGAAGCUUCUUGUACCCUCCUAUGCUCUACCAAGCAGGAAGACCAUCAAGGACUUGGUGAGCCAGAGAUAUGAGGAGGAAAAGGAGAAAACCAAAAAGGAUCUCCAGAGUUCCGUUGCUGUUAUUAACAGCUGAUAUGUGGACGUCUAUGAAUAUGGAGGCAUAUCUAGCCGUUACUGGCCACUAUGUGGACACAGAAAGCCAUGAACUCCAUUCAUCAGUCUUGGCAGUGCAGCAUUUUCCUCAGAAACACACUGCAGAAAACAUUGUAACGGUUAAAAGGAGCCUCAUGGAGGAGUGGGGCAUAGCAGGAAAGGUCAGGUGUCUUGUCACUGAUGCAGCAGCAAACACGGCUGCAUGUGCUCGAAUGCUGCAAAUACGGCAAACCAUUUGUAUAGCCCAUUCCCUGAAUUUAAUUGUGAGAAAAUCAUGUGAUCAAAUCCCAACAAUGACUGAAAUACACAACAAAACACGACACAUUGGGACAUACUUUCGAUGGAGCGUGACUGCUAAAGAGAAGCUCACUCAAAUACAGCAACAGCUGGGAACACCGGGCCAUAAAUGAAUAAACGAGGUGCCAACACGAUGGAACAGAACCUACCAAAUGUUUGAGAGAAUGACUGAGCAGAAGGAGGCAGUCUGGGUGUCACUGGCCUCAUUAGAACCUGACAUCACUCCACUGACUCCAGAAGGAUGUCAGAUCAUUGAAGAGAUGCUCAGGGUUCUUGCUCCUUUUGACCAAGCUACAAGAGGAAAAAAGGGUCUCUGGGUCAAAGGUCAUUCCCAUGAUGAGAAUGCUCCUCAUUGAGCUUCAACGUCAGGCCACAACAGUGACAAAAACAGCUGCUCGGCUGGCUGAAAACCUGGAAUCUCUCAGUGUGAUGACUCUGGCAACUCUGUUAGAUCCCAGAUUUAAAAAGAAUGGAUUUGUUAGUCAGCAAAAGGCAAGUGAAGCGGUGAAGAGACUGCAGUCAGAAUGUGCAGAAGAAAUGAGGAGCCAAGAGAAGAAGAGCCUAGCUCUUCACAUGGGUCAGAACCCAGUUCAGCUAUGAAAAUACAUCUCUGUGGCACUUUGUGAUAUGAUAUAUAUCAUGUGAUAAUAAACUAAUGAUUAACUAUUUUUUAGGGCACAAUCUCUGGAAAACUUUAGAUACAGAGGUUACAGAGACCCAGAAGACGAGGAACGCAACAGCUGACUCUGUUAUUGAAGUCCAACGCUGCCUGGCAGAAACACACACCCAGAAACCAAGAUCCUUUGCAAUAUUGGAAAUGCAACCAGGAAAUAUACCCACAUCUUCAUCAACUUGCACUUAAAACUCUCUGCUCACCAUCAUCGUCUGUACCAUGCGGCUGGGGAGCUGGUGUGUUAGAGGAGAAAUGGCCUUGGAGCAAAGACACCCCAAAAACUUUUGUUUCUCAAUAACUAAUCACUUUUUUGUCUUUUAUUUCAUCUGAUUUAACAGUUAAGUUGACAAAUGUGCACAUAAGUUAAAAAUUGUAACUCUGAAUUUUUACUCUAAUUUGCUAUAUUUUACAUACCAACUCAGUUUUAGCAUUUACACGAACAAGGA